rnacentral:lncRNA from 1 species
AUUUUACUUCAGAUCCAUGUCUAGACUUGAGGUUCAGCUUGUUAAAAUAAAUCAGUCUUAAGUCAGUCUUUAUAGUCUACACUAUAAAAAUACUGAUUUAUUCAUUCACUGUUCCAGAAGGAUGUGUGUGAAAAACAGAAUAUGUAUUUAAUAGAAUCUGGGUAUAUCAAUCUUUCAAAUAUAAAUAGAAAACAAAAAUGUCUCGUUUAUAUUCCUAGAUUAAAUCUUCAGUAAAAUGGACUCCAAGUUGAGAGGAUGUACCAGUAAGCUAAGGAGAAAUGCUUUACAGGAAUGCUUCAAUUCCUCUGGAAAGAGAAGGUAGUGAGUCCUCUGCUAGCACUUCUCCUCCCUGUACUGGCAGUUCCUGCUCUUCCUCCGCUCUCCCACAGGUCUCAAGCUGCAAAUUCCACAUCAUUUCAGCAGGCUGUAUUUCAGUGGCCACGCAACUUUCAUAGCUGAAUACAUUGCCCUAAUACAAAUACAGAAGCAGAAAUAGCGCAUGUGUUCUCAGCCAUGUUUAUUCAGGGAUCAGGCAGAUGUCAUGGCAAAGGCUUUGUCUGUAUAUACUGUACUGC